rfam:Nematostella vectensis strain CH2 x CH6 NEMVEscaffold_2_Cont442, whole genome shotgun sequence.
CUAUCAGAGACCAAGGACCCACUUCGUGUUCAACCUCACCUGAAGAAGUGCUUUGAGGGAAUCGCCAAACUCGAGUUCAACGAUUCGAAAGAGAUAAACGCCAUGAUAUCUACGGAGGGGGAGACGGUCAAGUUCUCCAAGAAGAUUAUUCCUGCGAACUCACGCGGACUCGUGGAGAAGUGGCUACUUGAGG